AGCGCGUUCCCGAAGUCGGAAUCGGCAAAGGUGAGCCGGGACAGCCUUCUUCCUCCGCCCAGCCGCCACAGUGAUUGUCGUCAAGUCUGCCACAGGAGGAUAUUUUUUUGAGGUUAACCUGCUUUCUCCCUCGCAGGUCGAUUACUACUGUUUGUAUAAACUUGUUAAAUCUUAGAAUUUCCGCAUGUGUUAGAAAUGUUUAUUUGAUUUGGGU